CGCAAGCCUGACGGAGCAACGCCGCGUGAGGGAUGAAGGCCUCUGGGCUGUAAACCUCUUUUAUCAAGGAAGAAGAUCUGACGGUACUUGAUGAAUAAGCCACGGCUAAUUCCGUGCCAGCAGCCGCGGUAAUACGGGAGUGGCAAGCGUUAUCCGGAAUUAUUGGGCGUAAAGCGUCCGCAGGCGGUCUUGUAAGUCUGUCGUUAAAACGUGGAGCUUAACCCCAUUUCAGCGAUGGAAACUGUAAGACUCGAGUGUGGUAGGGGCAGAGGGAAUUCCCGGUGUAGCGGUGAAAUGCGUAGAUAUCGGGAAGAACACCAGUGGCGAAAGCGCUCUGCUGGGCCAUAACUGACGCUCAUGGACGAAAGCCAGGGGAGCGAAAG
rnacentral:rRNA from 1 species